rnacentral:lncRNA from 1 species
UCUCUCUCACAGCGCUAUUGUUUUCCCUAUUGUUGAACCAUGAUUCUGCUUUAUUUAUUGGUUCUUUCUCUAGAUUGUUCUCAAACUCCUAGAGUAAAUUUGUUGCAUUGCAUCUCUAUUAACAUGAUUUUCAAAAUAUCUUGAUUAAAGUUGCUAAUAUGAGCCUGUAUCUUUUCCCAAAUUUGAGCGGACAUGGUCAGUUCAUUACUGAAUUGAUUUUGAAUAUUGACAUGGAAAAGGAAAGGAUAGAGAAGAAGGUGGCAGCAGCUAAUAAGAUUAGGAUUAGUUUUGGGAAAAUAGGUUAAACCAUUCG